rnacentral:rRNA from 1 species
CUUGGUCAUUUAGAGGAAGUAAAAGUCGUAACAAGGUCUCCGUAGGUGAACCUGCGGAGGGAUCAUUACAAGUGACCCCGGUCUAACCACCGGGAUGUUCAUAACCCUUUGUUGUCCGACUCUGUUGCCUCCGGGGCGACCCUGCCUUCGGGCGGGGGCUCCGGGUGGACACUUCAAACUCUUGCGUAACUUUGCAGUCUGAGUAAACUUAAUUAAUAAAUUAAAACUUUUAACAACGGAUCUCUUGGUUCUGGCAUCGAUGAAGAACGCAGCGAAAUGCGAUACGUAGUGUGAAUUGCAGAAUUCAGUGAAUCCUCGAAUCUUUGAACGCACAUUGCGCCCCUCGGUAUUCCGUGGGGCAUGCCUGUUCGAGCGUCAUCUACACCCUCAAGCUCUGCUUGGUGUUGGGCGUCUGUCCCGCCUCGGCGCGCGGACUCGCCCCAAAUGCAUUGGCAGCGGUCUUUGCCUCCUCUCGCGCAGCACAUUGCGCUUCUCGAGGUGUCGCGGACACGCGUCCAGUAAGCAACAUUUUACCGUCUUUGACCUCGGAUCAGGUAGGGAUACCCGCUGAACUUAAGCAUAUCAAUAAGCGGAGGA